rnacentral:rRNA from 1 species
CCUACGGGCGGCUGCAGUGGGGAAUAUUGGACAAUGGGGGCAACCCUGAUCCAGCCAUGCCGCGUGAGUGAUGAAGGCCCUAGGGUUGUAAAGCUCUUUUGUGCGGGAAGAUAAUGACGGUACCGCAAGAAUAAGCCCCGGCUAACUUCGUGCCAGCAGCCGCGGUAAUACGAAGGGGGCUAGCGUUGCUCGGAAUCACUGGGCGUAAAGGGUGCGUAGGCGGGUCUUUAAGUCAGAGGUGAAAGCCUGGAGCUCAACUCCAGAACUGCCUUUGAUACUGAGGAUCUUGAGUUCGGGAGAGGUGAGUGGAACUGCGAGUGUAGAGGUGAAAUUCGUAGAUAUUCGCAAGAACACCAGUGGCGAAGGCGGCUCACUGGCCCGAUACUGACGCUGAGGCACGAAAGCGUGGGGAGCAAACAGGAUUAGAUACCCCUGUAGUC